rnacentral:rRNA from 1 species
CCUACGGGAGGCAGCAGUGAGGAAUAUUGCACAAUGGAGGGAAGCCUGAUCCAGCGAAGCCGCGUGCAGGAUGGAGUCUUUCUGUGUGGAAAGCCGUAUCAGCAGGGGAGAAAAAUGACGGUACCUGACUCCGCAGCACCGGCUACAUACGUGCCAGCAGCCGCGGUAAUCCGUAUGGUGCAAGCGUUAUCCGGAUUUACUGGGUGUAAAGGGAGCGCAGGCGGUGAGUUAAGCCUGGUGUGAAAGCCCGCGGCCCAACCGUGGGACUGCAGUGGGAACUGGCGAGCUGGAGUGCAGGAGGGGUAGGCGGAAUUCAUAGUGUAGCGGUGAAAUGCGUAGAUAUCAGGAGGAACACCAGUGGCGAAGGCG